rnacentral:rRNA from 1 species
CAGUCGAGGGGUAAAGGAGCUUGCUCCUUUGAGACCGGCGCACGGGUGCGUAACGCGUAUGCAAUCUACCUUGUACAGGGGGAUAGCCCAGAGAAAUUUGGAUUAAUACCCCAUAGUAUUUUCAGAUGGCCUCAUUUGAUUAUUAAAGUUCCAACGGUACAAGAUGAGCAUGCGUCCCAUUAGCUAGUUGGUGUGGUAACGGCAUACCAAGGCAACGAUGGGUAGGGGUCCUGAGAGGGAGAUCCCCCACACUGGUACUGAGACACGGACCAGACUCCUACGGGAGGCAGCAGUGAGGAAUAUUGGUCAAUGGGCGCAAGCCUGAACCAGCCAUGCCGCGUGCAGGAUGACGGUCCUAUGGAUUGUAAACUGCUUUUGUACAGGAAGAAACCCUCCCUUGUAAGGGAGCUUGACGGUACUGUAAGAAUAAGGAUCGGCUAACUCCGUGCCAGCAGCCGCGGUAAUACGGAGGAUCCAAGCGUUAUCCGGAAUCAUUGGGUUUAAAGGGUCCGUAGGCGGUUUUAUAAGUCAGUGGUGAAAUCUGGUCGCUCAACGAUCAAACGGCCAUUGAUACUGUAAGACUUGAAUUACUUGGAAGUAACUAGAAUAUGUAGUGUAGCGGUGAAAUGCUUAGAGAUUACAUGGAAUACCGAUUGCGAAGGCAGGUUACUACGAGUAUAUUGACGCUGAUGG